rnacentral:rRNA from 1 species
CCUACGGGUUGCAGCAGUAGGGAAUCUUCGGCAAUGGACGAAAGUCUGACCGAGCAACGCCGCGUGAGUGAAGAAGGUUUUCGGAUCGUAAAACUCUGUUGUUAGAGAAGAACAAGUAGGAGAGUAACUGCUCUUACCUUGACGGUAUCUAACCAGAAAGCCACGGCUAACUACGUGCCAGCAGCCGCGGUAAUACGUAGGUGGCAAGCGUUGUCCGGAAUUAUUGGGCGUAAAGGGCUCGCAGGCGGUUUCUUAAGUCUGAUGUGAAAGCCCCCGGCUCAACCGGGGAGGGUCAUUGGAAACUGGGGAACUUGAGUGCAGAAGAGGAGAGUGGAAUUCCACGCGUAGCGGUGAAAUGCGUAGAGAUGUGGAGGAACACCAGUGGCGAAGGCGACUCUCUGGUCUGUAACUGACGCUGAGGAGCGAAAGCGUGGGGAGCGAACAGGAUUAGAUACCCUGGUAGUC